AGUGAACGCUGGCGGUAGGCCUAACACAUGCAAGUCGAACGGCAGCACAGUAGGAGCUUGCUCUUACGGGUGGCGAGUGGCGGGCGGGUGGGGUAUACAUCGUGAUCUACAUUUUCGUGGGAGAUAACGUAGGGAAACUUACGAUAAUACCGCAACAGACAUACGGGUGAAAGCAGGGGAACUGCGGACCUUGCGCAAUUGCAUGAGGCGAUGUCUGAUGAGCGAGUUGGCGGGUAAAGGCCCACCACGGCGACGAUCCGUAGCUGGUCUGAGAGGAUGAUCAGCCACACUGGAACUGAGACACGGUCCAGACUCCUACGGGAGGCAGCAGUGGGGAAUAUUGGAAAAUGGGCGAAAGCCUGAUCCAGCCAGACCGCGUGGGUGAAGAAGGCCUUCGGGUUGUAAAGCCCUUUUGUUGGGAAAGAAAAGCAGCAGGUUAAUACCCCGCUGUUCUGACGGUACCCAAAGAAUAAGCACCGGCUAACUUCGUG
rnacentral:rRNA from 1 species